GGCCUAGUAACUAAGCAGGUAGAGCAUAUGCGUACAAAGCGUAGGCGGCGUCCACGCGUGGGUUCGAAUCCCAUCGAGGUUA
rnacentral:tRNA from 1 species